rnacentral:rRNA from 1 species
CAGUCGCCGCGGUAACACAGAGGGUGCGAGCGUUAAUCGGAUUUACUGGGCGUAAAGCGUGCGUAGUCGGCUUCUUAAGUCGGAUGUGAAAUCCCUGAGCUUAACUUAGGAAUUGCAUUCGAUACUGGGAAGCUAGAGUAUGGGAGAGGAUGGUAGAAUUCCAGGUGUAGCGGUGAAAUGCGUAGAGAUCUGGAGGAAUACCGAUGGCGAAGGCAGCCAUCUGGCCUAAUACUGACGCUGAGGUACGAAAGCAUGGGGAGCAAACAGGAUUAGAUACCCGCGUAGUCCCUGUCUCUUAUAC